UAGUGACUCGCAUAUUGAGAAACUUCCUGGAAAUUUCGAGUGGCUACAUUGUAAUCAAGCUAAAAUUAGAAAAUUAAAAAAAAAUGGAAAAAAAUAGUUGAGCACAGUUUCACACACCAGAUGGAUGGACCAUGAUUAUAUUCCAAGAGUGUUUUCGUCCACAUGGCUUUUCUCUUUUCUCUCUCCGUCGAUUGAGCUCGCUCUACAACUUGCAUGUCUGAUUCAUUUAAUCUUUCUGUUACGUGAGACAGUUGUGGUCAAAAGGAGGUAAAUGACGACGAGUUCGUCGCACAAUGGAUCGUUUCCAACGGAAGAUGUCGAGGCCGGUCCUUCGAAGAGAGAUGUUGGCAGUGGUGAAGACGAUGACCCUCUUUCUGAUCCUUUCGAUAUUUCCCAGACCAAACACGUGUCUAUCAAGGCUCUCAAAAGAUGGAGACAAGCGGCCCUAGUGUUAAAUGCUUCUCGUCGAUUUCGGUACACGUUGGACUUGAAGAGGGAGGUAGAAAAGGAGAAAAGAAGACGGAUGAUUAGAUCCCAUUUUCAAGUUAUAAGAGCCGCAUUACUUUUCAAGUUGGCAGCGGAGCAAGAUAUCGGUAUGUUAAUCAGUAAUAUUGCUUUGCCACCAACAUCUGGUGGUGAUUAUGGAAUCGGACUUGAACAACUUGCUUCAAUGACCAGAGAUCAUAAUUUUGCAGCUUUAGAGCUAUAUGGUGGGGUUAAAGGGUUAUCAAAUUUGUUAAAAACAAACAUAGAGUUUGGAAUUAACGGCGAUGAUAUUGAUUUGUUAGAGCGAAGGAAUUCAUUUGGAUCAAAUACAUAUCCUUUGAAGAAAAGACGAAAUUUCUUGAGUUUUCUUUGGGAAGCUUGGCAAGAUUUAACCCUUAUCAUCUUGAUUGUAGCCGCCAUAGCUUCAUUAGCAUUGGGAAUAAAGACAGAGGGUGUGGAAGAAGGAUGGUAUGACGGGGCUAGCAUUGCCUUUGCUGUUAUUCUUGUUAUAGUUGUUACAGCUACUAGUGAUUAUCGGCAAUCGCUUCAGUUUCAAAUUUUGAACAAUGAGAAGAGAAACAUACAAAUAGAGGUCAUGAGGGGUGGUAAAGCAGUGAAAAUUUUGAUAUUUGAUGUAGUCGUUGGAGAUAUUUUACCUCUUCGAAUAGGUGAUCAGGUCCCAGCUGAUGGAGUCUUGGUUACUGGUCAUUCUCUUGCCAUUGAUGAAUCUAGCAUGACUGGUGAAAGCAAGAUAGUUCGCAAGGAUCAGAAAUCUCCAUUUCUGAUGUCUGGAUGCAAAGUAGCAGAUGGUGUUGGUACAAUGAUGGUAACAGGUGUUGGAAUCAAUACUGAAUGGGGACUGUUGAUGGCUAGUAUUUCAGAGGAUAUUGGUGAAGAGACCCCCUUGCAGGUACGCUUGAAUGGUGUUGCAACUUUAAUUGGCCUAGUUGGGCUCACUGUAGCUUGCUUGGUACUGGCUGUCCUUUUAGGCAGAUUCUUUACGGGACAUAGUACAAACUCAGAUGGAAGCCGUCAAUUUGUCAAAGGUCAGACUGGUGCUACUGAUGCUGUGAAUGGAGUUAUAAAAAUUAUUACAAUUGCGGUUACCAUUGUAGUUGUUGCGGUGCCUGAAGGGCUUCCUUUGGCUGUUACAUUGACCCUAGCAUACUCAAUGCGGAAAAUGAUGGCAGAUAAAGCCUUGGUGCGUAGACUUUCAGCGUGUGAAACUAUGGGUUCUGCAACAACAAUAUGCAGUGAUAAGACUGGGACAUUGACCUUGAAUCAGAUGACAGUGGUUGAGGCUUAUGCUGGGAGAAAAAAAUUAGAUCCACCAGAUGACAGCACACAAAUUCACCCAAUGGUUGUCUCUUUGUUAAGUGAGGGUGCCGCACAAAACACUACAGGCAAUGUCUUUGUGCCAAAGGAUGGUGGAGAAGUAGAGGUUACUGGGUCUCCCACAGAAAAGGCUAUUCUUGCAUGGGCAGUCAAGCAGUUGGGGAUGAAGUUUGAUGUUGCCAGAUCAGAGACCACAGUCCUCCAAGUUCUUCCUUUCAACUCAGAGAAAAAGCGAGGUGGUGUUGCAUUAAAGCGGAAGGACUCUGAAGUUCAUAUACAUUGGAAAGGAGCUGCUGAAAUAGUUCUAGCCUCAUGUACAACAUAUCUUGACUCAAACGGACAUCUGCAAUCAAUUAAAGAAGAUGAGGAUUUUUUCAAAUUAGCUAUUGAUGAAAUGGCAGCGAGAAGCCUGCGAUGUGUUGCCAUUGCAUACAGGUCAUGUAAAAUUGACAAAGUUCCUUCUGAUGAGGAGAGCUUAGACCAAUGGGUUUUACCAGAAGAUGAUCUUGUUUUGCUUGCCAUUGUUGGUAUUAAGGACCCUUGCCGCCCAGGUGUCAAAGAUGCAGUUAGAGUUUGCAAAGAAGCUGGGGUAAAGGUUCGCAUGGUCACUGGAGACAAUCUUGGAACAGCAAAAGCAAUAGCUCUUGAGUGCAGAAUACUUGGUUCUGCACCAGAUGCUAUUGGGCAUACUAUCAUUGAAGGAAAAGUAUUCCGAGAGUUUUCAGAAAAAGAAAGGGAGCAAGUCGCCCAAGAAAUAAUAGUGAUGGGGAGGUCUUCUCCCAAUGACAAGCUUUUGCUUGUUCAAGCACUGCGUAAGGGAGGGGAGGUUGUUGCUGUGACUGGAGAUGGAACUAAUGACGCUCCUGCACUUCACGAGGCAGAUAUUGGUCUUGCUAUGGGCAUUCAAGGAACUGAAGUUGCAAAAGAAAAUUCAGAUAUAAUUAUCUUGGAUGAUAACUUUGCUUCAGUUGUAAAGGUUGUUCGCUGGGGCCGUUCUGUAUUUGCCAAUAUUCAAAAAUUUAUACAAUUUCAGCUUACCGUUAAUGUUGCAGCUCUCAUCAUUAAUGUUGUUGCAGCAGUCUCUUCUGGCAGUGUUCCUUUAAAUACAGUACAGUUAUUAUGGGUUAACCUUAUAAUGGAUACACUUGGAGCUCUAGCAUUGGCCACUGAACCACCCACUGACCAACUUAUGCAUAGAAUGCCAGUUGGCCGAAGGUUUGAACUAGUGGGAACCUCUUAUAACAAAUAUCAUGUGGAGGAAUCUAUUUAUACAGGCCUUUUAUCAAGUUGCUGUCCUCCUUGUGCUCAACUUUUGGGGCACCAGUAUUCUUCGAUUACAGAAUAAAACCAGGGAACAUGCUAAUGACGUGAAGAAUACUAUGAUAUUCAACACAUUUGUCUUCUGUCAAAUAUUCAAUGAGUUCAAUGCUCGGAAGCCCGAUGAAAUCAAUGUCUUCAGUGGAAUGACUAAAAACUACCUCUUCUUGGGAAUAAUUGGAAUGACCUGUGUUCUUCAAAUCAUCAUCAUUGAGUUUCUCGGAAAGUUUACCUCGACUCGGAGGCUCAGCUGGAAGCUGUGGCUUGUGUCUGUAGCAAUCGCCAUUGUCAGCUGGCCGCUAGCAAUUGUUGGAAAAAUGAUUCCAGUUCCGAAGACUCCUCUUUCCUUGAGGCCAAUUCAGCAAUUGCGAAAUCAUGGUUGAGCAAAAUCAUGAAGCAUUUACUGAUUAUAUAACCCAUUAUGGUAGUAGCCAAGCCGAAGUUGCAGUUUCUGAAAGAUCUACAAAUAAUCAGGUUGAAAGGUUAAAAAACUAACCUUUAUUGGGAUCUCCUGAGAAAACUAAUAUCAGUAAAUAUGUAUUGUUAUUCAUUCUUAUAAUUUUUUUCUCUUUAUUUUCAAGUGAAAACAAGAUCAUAAACCAUAUAAAAAUGGAAGACAAUUGUGACUUUAUUACAUGAUUAGAGGUGAUAAUUAAAUUUUGAUUUGUUAGUAUCAA